AGUGAACGCUGGCGGUAGGCCUAACACAUGCAAGUCGAACGGCAGCACAGUAAGAGCUUGCUCUUACGGGUGGCGAGUGGCGGACGGGUGAGGAAUACAUCGGAAUCUACUUUUUCGUGGGGGAUAACGUAGGGAAACUACCGCUAUUCCCCCUUACACCUUCCGGUUAAAACAAGGGAAUCUUCGAACCUUGCCCGUUUAAUUAAGCCGAUGUCGGAUUAGCUAGUUGGCGGGGUAAAGGCCCACCAAGGCGACGAUCCGUAGCUGGUCUGAGAGGAUGAUCAGCCACACUGGAACUGAGACACGGUCCAGACUCCUACGGGAGGCAGCAGUGGGGAAUAUUGGACAAUGGGCGCAAGCCUGAUCCAGCCAUACCGCGUGGGUGAAGAAGGCCUUCGGGUUGUAAAGCCCUUUUGUUGGGAAAGAAAAGCAGCAGGUUAAUACCCCGCUGUUCUGACGGUACCCAAAGAAUAAGCACCGGCUAACUUCGUG
rnacentral:rRNA from 1 species